AUUGAACGCUGGCGGCAUGCUUUACACAUGCAAGUCGAACGGUAACAGGGUGCUUGCACCGCUGACGAGUGGCGAACGGGUGAGUAAUGCGUCGGAACGUGCCGAGUAGUGGGGGAUAACGCAGCGAAAGUUGUGCUAAUACCGAAUACGUACUGAGGUAGAAAGUGGGGGACCUUCGGGCCUCACGCUAUUCGAGCGGCCGCCGUCUGAUUAGCUAGUAGGUGAGGUAAAGGCUCACCUAGGCGACGAUCAGUAGCGGGUCUGAGAGGAUGAUCCGCCACACUGGGACUGAGACACGGCCCAGACUCCUACGGGAGGCAGCAGUGGGGAAUUUUGGACAAUGGGCGAAAGCCUGAUCCAGCCAUGCCGCGUGUCUGAAGAAGGCCUUCGGGUUGUAAAGGACUUUUGUCAGGGAGGAAAUCCCUAGUGCUAAUAACACUGGGGGAUGACAGUACCUGAAGAAUGAGCACCGGCUAACUACGUGCCAGCCGCCGCCGUAA
rnacentral:rRNA from 1 species